UACAGAGGGUGCGAGCGUUGUCCGGAAUCACUGGGCGUAAAGGGCGCGUAGGCGGCUUGAUAAGUAGGGGGUGAAAUCCUGUGGCUUAACUGCAGGGCUGCCUCCUAGACUGUUAGGCUCGAGCACGGUAGAGGCAGAUGGAAUUCCCGGUGUAGCGGUGGAAUGCGUAGAGAUCGGGAAGAACAUCGGUGGCGAAGGCGGUCUGCUGGGCCGUUGCUGACGCUGAGGCGCGACAGCGUGGGGAGCAAACAGG
rnacentral:rRNA from 1 species